AAGUAUUUAAGCACAUGCCUUCUUUAGCUGCACUAGUCUCCAGACUAGUGCAUUGUAGAGUUCCAUUUUACGGAAAAAAGAUAAAUUCGACCAAUUUUUUUUUUAACAUGCGUGAAAUCUGGCAUCUGACGUUUUCUGAAAAAUCAACUAAUCACCAGAGAUAGGCCAUCAAACACUCAGCUGACUUAGGCCAUUUGCAGUUCUUUUAAUCAGAAGCAGCACUCCUCGCAUCUUUGCAGAGGUUUGUUUUUCCUACUUCGCUCUAGUCAAUCUUUCUACUGCUCUCAAACUUGGCCUCAGCUGGCAAGUAUGCCCUCUAACUUUGGGUGUGCAUAAGUAGGCACUUCAACCUAUAUAAAGUUGAACACGUAAACACAAAUGCUGACGUGACACACAAAUUUUGGAGGUGUCUAGAUGAUCAUUUUGUAAGUUGGCGUAUUCAACUGACAAAGUGGAGACAAGUUGAGGUGCCUACUUGUGCACAACAUACUUGCCAGCUGAGGCCAUGUUUGAGGACCUGUUUAUGUAUUAUGCCCUUUCUAUUUUGUUCUUGAUGUUUCCAACAAAGAAUAUUUAUUUCAAUUUUCAGGUUGCUAGCUCAAUGGCAGGUGUUCCAAGAAAUUUCUUUCCUGCUACAUUCCAGUUGCCGGUUGAACUUGUGAUCAGGAGGUAAGAGGUUCAAGCCGUGGAAAUAACAUCUUCCAGAAAUGCAGAGCAAGACUGAGUAAAAUAGACCCUUGUGGUCUGGCCUUUCCCGGACCCAGCACAUAGCAGGUGUAACACUCCUCAAAUCUAUAAAAGUUUCAAGACACACUAAAUAUUGAAUUUAAUUUUUUUAAUCUUGUCUUGAGUGUAAAAAUAUUAUACUUCUAUAACGGAUUUAAACCCUUAUGAUUGACUUAAAUUCUUAAAGAAUUAGAGUGUCGUUAUAGAAAAAUUAUAUAGUAUUGUUACCGAAAUUUGUGACGAGAUUUGAACAUAUAAUAAUCUCAUUCCUUCACUUUCUUUUCAUACAAGAUAUCAUUUUGUAUACACAAGAGUUGGGAAUGAAAAGGCAAGGAAAAGCCAACGGCUAUAAGAGAGAAAUUGGAAAAGAUUCUUCAAUGGCUUGAAUUGGUUUUGCAGAAUCUCUCUUUCCAUAUAUACAAAGAACGUUUCUUUGUUUCCUUGUUGGCUUCAUUCAGAAUAUUGGAUUCAACUUCUUUCCUUAGUUGACAUAUUCCUUAGUUGGCACUUGACAUACUUCAAUUGCUUUCCUUUUCACCCUUUUUCAAGCUGGAGGUAAUGAUUGAAUGUACUCCUAUCUUGGCUCGAAAUGAUCGGAAGGGAAGCUUUGGAAGAGGUUUCGUAAAUAUAUCUGCAAUUUGAAGCUCAGAAGGAAUAUAUAUAUCGUGUAGUGAGUGCGCCAAGAGCGACCUUUCCUCGAACGAAAUGAUAGUCUAUCUCAAUAUGCUUGGCUCGAGCAUGAAACACUGGAUUAAUUGACAUAUACAAUGCACUUUUAUUAUCACAAAAAAGCUGAGGUGAAUGAUGUAGUGAAAUACCGAUGUCUCGAAGGAGAAAGUUAUCCAAACUAAUUCAGCUGUCGUAGAUGUCAUGGAUCAAUCGAUAUUCUGCUUCUGUGCUAGAUCUAGACACUGUUGGUUGUUUCUUGGAGGACCAUGAAAUACAAUUAGCACCUAGAUAUAUGCAAAAUCUUGAAGUACUUCUCCUUGUAUCCGGACAGCCUGCCCAAUCUGCAUCACAAUACACAUAAAGUUUGAAUGGAGAAAGGAAUUUAAGGCAAUAGUCUGUCGUUCCUUUUAGAUAUCGAAGAAUUCUUUUGACGGCUCUCAUAUGCUCUUCCGUCGGAUGUUGGAGAUGUUGGUAGACUUUGUUGACUGCAUGAACAAUGUCGGAUCCGGCUCCCCUCCUGUAUAGAAUCUCUCCAAUUUCAGCAGUGCAUGCCUAAUUUAAUGACAUCUGUCAUUUUUCAAAUCCAAAGGCCAAGAUUAAAUCAGUCCAUAAACUAUGGUUAAAAUUAAAUAUUCCUAUAAUUUAGCUUUUCCUUAAAUCUAAAAUCCUUUACUUACAGGGAUAGUGGGAUACGGUACCAGCAAAUCAAAUCCUUUCAUGGAUUUUUUUUUAUUAUUCUUUCAUGAAUCAAAUCUCCAAAUUGUUAAAUCUUUUUCUCCCCAAAUUCCAAAUUCCUUCAAAUGAGAUAUUAUUUUCACAGGGACAAUUUCAUUUGUGUUCUUCCAACUUUUUU
rnacentral:lncRNA from 1 species